CGCCGGGCUGCCGUACUCCGGCAGAUCGCUAGUAGCACCAGACAGUAACAGUCACGCACAGCAGCGCGUUCACGGACAGGUGAAAGUACUCUUUAGACACUUUACCUCUGAGUAUUAUCUCUUCAAAACAAGUCAGCAAGUGUAUUAACAACACAAGAUCAACUUUUCCUUCUCGAGAUGGCAUCCUCUACAAUGAUCACAGUGCCAACCACCGCCUCCCGCUUCGCCCUGCUGCAGAUAGACUCCGACUCGGACUCCGACGCCUCCGAUGCGGGCAAGAGCGGCACCAAGAUCGGCCGAGACGGGAAGACCCGGCAGGGGAAGACUGGAGGAGGAGCCGGAGGGAAAGGAGCUCAGUGCAACGACAAGAAGAAAGACAAGAAGAAGAAGAAGAGGGAGCAGCAGCAGACUGAGGCGAAUGAGUUACGUAAUCUGGCCUUCAAGAAGAUUCCUCAGAAGUCGUGUGCCCCGCCUCCCUGCAUGACACUGUCAGGAAUAGCCGGUGAACUUCUCAGUCCUGCAGCAGGGGACCACAAUAUGCCGGCAGAGGGCUGGCAGCAGUGGAAGCAGAGGGAUGAGCAGAUAACCAGUGAGCUUUACGAGGCUGACUUGGAAAAGGCCUUGAUUCUCAGUAAACUGGAGUUCGAACAAAAUAAACCGAACAACAACACAAACGCAUCCUCGCCAAAGUCACGAGUAGGAAAAGAGGGCGGAGGGAAGAAGGACAAAAAGAAGAAUCAGCAGGCAAAAGACAAAAAGACAGUUUCCCUGCAGGACUUCCAGGCUGAAGGCACUGCAGAACAUGGGAGUAAGAAACAAGAGAAAGAGGACGCCAGAGUGGCUAACCUACCAGUGGGAACCGGGCAGGAGGAGCGUUUUUUUAACAAGCUUGAGGAUGACGUCACUCGGAUUAUCCAGCAGGAGAAAAGACGUGAGCAGUACACCAACAGCCACGGACAGGAAGUCAUCACCUCCACAGAACACGAACCGGAUCCCAGAGCAGAGCAGCUGAAGUACGAUCUGGAGAAGAAAGACCAGGAAAUCGAUAAGCUAAAGAAGAACAUCUCACAGUGGGAGGGGAAAUACAGAGAGGUGAAAGCAAGAAAUUCCCAGCUGCUUAAGAUGCUCCAACAGGGAGAGAUGAAAGAUAAAGCAGAACUCCUUCUACAGGUAGAAGAGCUACUACACAUAAAAGAAGAACAGUCAUUACAGGUAACAUCACUACACGCUGCCCUUGAACAAGAACGGUCUAAAGUCAAAGGUCUGCAGUCAGAACAACCGAAACAUCAGGGAAACAAGAAAGGGAAGAAAGGCCCGGAGAUGGAUCUAUGAACGUCUUUUUAGCUCGGACUCCAUGCCAGCAUAUAAUGCAUGCCCCCCUAAUUACACACACACACACACACACAGACACACAGACACACACACACACAAACACACACACACACACACACACACACACAGAUGUUGAUCUGUGCACCUAUACAUAUAGGCUAAUGCACGUACUUAUGUCCAUAUGACAUAUAAGCACCUACACUCAAACAUAACAAUGUCAUUAUAAACAAUGACAAAGUGCUUUACAAAAAAAAACACAGGAGAAAUGCAAGCCAUAUUAAUAUUGCUGUACUUUCAAAGACAUACUUAUAUUCAUUCCUUAACUCCCGUCACUAACCUCUGUCUGCAGUAGUAAAUUAUAUUAUUCAGUCCUAGCAUAACAGUCACCCUUACCUUCGUACACUUUACACUUGUAUUUCCUUUUUUUAAAAGAGGGUGCCGUAUGCUGCACACAUUGUAAAGCCUGUUGAGGCAAAUUUGUGAUUUAUGAUAUUGGGCUAUAUAAAUACAAGUAAAAAAUAAAUGUAUUUUAUGAAGUGAGAAAUGAGAAAAUGUACACAUAUACAGCCGAAGGAUUUUUAUGUUCUUUUUGUCCUUCCAGAGUGAGUGCUUGAGGUUAAUAUCAGGAUAGAAACAAUCACUGUGGUGCAGGUCAGUACAGGUACUGAUAUCCACCUCACAUACUGUAGACUUGUAGCUGUUGCAUACAUAUUCAGAGGCAGGUCAUGUAUUAUUGAUCUCUGUGCAACGCAAAGCUCAGGCCUCUUUUCAUCUUGCCACCUGGACAAUAAUGAGAGCUUCUAACACAGUCAGAUGUUCCUGGAGGCACACAGACGAUUCACACUCUCUAUCAGCAGAUUUAACCAAGAGCACAAUCUGUUGCUGUCCCCUCCCUCCCUCCUUCUCUCCCUCCCUCCCUCGCUGAUCUUGUGUCUUCUUGUCCAUCACAUGCUGUAGAGAUCAGACACACCAGGUAAUUAUACGGAGCUCCAAAAAGAUGCAUUUCCACGUUUAUCACACAGGCACAGAAAGUCUGAUUUGCAGUUAAUCUUCUCAACACACUCACACAGGAGAAACAUUUAGAUUGAAUCCAAAACUGAGAAAAACUCAUUUUAACCCUUUUGUAACUUACAACACAACCCGUGCUGCUGAUGAUUACGAACAUUUACUUUACAUAGAUGAGGCUCUUUGUGUCCAACUAUCUUUCACUGCACUGACUAUUAACACCUGUGAUUUGUUGUUCUGUAUUUAAGCUUGUAUUCAACAGAGCCACAGUAAACACACCAUGCUGCAGUGUUUCUGUGCCAUAAGGAGCGCUGCAUGUUGUAUCCCAACUGACUGGGCAACAUACGUUCACUCAUCUAGCUGACUUGUGGAUCUGAUGUAAGUCAAUAAACAUAAUUCAGUUGUACCUUAA